rnacentral:rRNA from 1 species
UCUGGCUCAGGACGAACGCUGGCGGCGUGCCUAAUACAUGCAAGUAGAACGCUGAAGGAGGAGCUUGCUUCUCCGGAUGAGUUGCGAACGGGUGAGUAACGCGUAGGUAACCUGCCUGGUAGCGGGGGAUAACUAUUGGAAACGAUAGCUAAUACCGCAUAACAGUAGAUAUUGCUUGAUAUUUNCUUGAAAGGCGCAAUUGCAUCACUACCAGAUGGACUUGCGUUGUAUUAGCUAGUUGGUGAGGUAACGGCUCACCAAGGCAACGAUACAUAGCCGACCUGAGAGGGUGAUCGGCCACACUGGGANUGAGACACGGCCCAGACUCCUACGGGAGGCAGCAGUAGGGAAUNUUCGGCAAUGGACGGAAGUCUGACCGAGCAACGCCGCGUGAGUGAAGAAGGUUUUCGGAUCGUAAAGCUCUNUGUAAGAGAAGAACGAGUGUGAGAGGGAAAGUUCNCACUGUGACG